rnacentral:rRNA from 1 species
GACGAACGCUGGCGGCGUGCUUAACACAUGCAAGUCGAACGGAAAGGCCCUGCUUUUGUGGGGUGCUCGAGUGGCGAACGGGUGAGUAACACGUGAGUAACCUGCCCUUGACUUUGGGAUAACUUCAGGAAACUGGGGCUAAUACCGGAUAGAAGCUCCUGCUGCAUGGUGGGGGUUGGAAAGUUUCGGCGGUUGGGGAUGGACUCGCGGCUUAUCAGCUUGUUGGUGGGGUAGUGGCUUACCAAGGCUUUGACGGGUAGCCGGCCUGAGAGGGUGACCGGCCACAUUGGGACUGAGAUACGGCCCAGACUCCUACGGGAGGCAGCAGUGGGGAAUAUUGCACAAUGGGCGGAAGCCUGAUGCAGCAACGACGCGUGCGGGAUGACGGCCUUCGGGUGGGAAACCGCUUUCGCCUGUGACGAAGCGUGAGUGACGGUAAUGGGUAAAGAAGCACCGGCUAACUACGU